GACAUUUUAACUAUAUAAAGUAUAUAUUUUGAAAAUAUAAAAAAGGAUUUCCUAAAUGUCU
rnacentral:tRNA from 1 species